rnacentral:rRNA from 1 species
GACAGAGGAUGCAAGCGUUAUCCGGAAUGAUUGGGCGUAAAGCGUCUGUAGGUGGCUUUUUAAGUCCGCCGUCAAAUCCCAGGGCUCAACCCUGGACAGGCGGUGGAAACUACCAAGCUGGAGUACGGUAGGGGCAGAGGGAAUUUCCGGUGGAGCGGUGAAAUGCGUAGAGAUCCGGAAGAACACCGGUGGCGAAGGCGGCCUGCUGGGCAGUAGCUGACACUGAGGCGCGACAGCGUGGGUAGCAAACAGG